GGAAAGUUGCCUAAACCUACUUUCAAUUUGGAUCAACUCAAUACAAUGUUUGCCUCUCAUGGUUUAAAUCAGGCUGAUAUGAUUGCCUUAUCUGCGGCCCAUACUGUUGGAUUUUCUCACUGCGACCAAUUCUCGAACCGAAUUUUCAACUUUAACCCUAAAAACCCAGUGGAUCCAAGUCUCAACAAGACGUAUGCAGCCCAAUUAGAACAAAUGUGUCCGAAAAAUGUGGACCCAAGAAUAGCCAUCAACAUGGACCCAAUAACACCUAGGGCUUUUGACAAUGUGUAUUUCCAAAACUUGCAAAACGGAAUGGGCCUAUUCACAUCAGAUCAAGUUUUGUUCACAGACCAAAGGUCUAAA
rnacentral:misc_RNA from 1 species